AGGAAAUAAAAUGGAGAGGAAGUGUGAAGAAAUGGUGGGAAGAGGGCCCUAUCUAUUGAGAAAAUAGACAGUCAGAUUUUUACCGAGUGGCAUGAAUUCGUGAGGAGAGAGGGAGGAAAAAUUGACCGACGGGAUACGAAAAUUGAUGAACAUGACUAAGGGACAGUCAAUGAGAUGAUGGUGAUGCGAUGACUUAGCACAAAAAUCGAGGGCAUGCUGGUAAA
rnacentral:lncRNA from 1 species